ACGAGAAAGUGGAGCAAUCCAUGAGUAAAGUGGCGACCGGGUGAGUAACACGUGACUAACCUACCUUCGAGUGGGGAAUAACCUCGGGAAACCGGGGCUAAUACCGCAUAAUGUCUUCGGACCAAAGGAGCAAUUCGCUGGAAGAGGGGGCUGCGGCCGAUUAGCUAGUUGGUGAGGUAAUGGCCCACCAAGGCGAUGAUCGGUAGCCGGCCUGAGAGGGCGCACGGCCACACUGGCACUGAAACACGGGCCAGACUCCUACGGGAGGCAGCAGUGGGGAAUUUUGCACAAUGCCCGAAAGGGUGAUGCAGCAACGCCGCGUGAGGGAUGAAGGUCUUCGGA
rnacentral:rRNA from 1 species